CAAAUAAUUUAUUAACCAAAGUUUUUGAUUAAACAAACUAAUUUGCAAUUCUUACCUCAUUCAUUUUUUAUUUACAACCAAUGUCAUUUAGUAAACCUAUUCCGAUAUCAUAUUUCGAUGGUAUAUUUUUCGUGAGCUCUUCUAAUGUUCAUACUUGUGUAACUAAAUCUUGUAUCUUAUAACGGGAUCAUUUCCAAUGAUUGACUGCAUACGUUUAAAAAUAUUUAAAAUGAAGUAAAACCUUCUAGUGUAAUUGCCAAUUGGUAUACAUAUUUUUAAAAUUGUUAAAAUGAAACGAACAGAAUACAGUUUUUAGAACUUUUCCCGUUCUAUUAUGCCAUCAUCAGUGAAACCUGAAAGUGUCCCCAAAAAUCCAGGAGAAACAAAUAUUGGUGAAUAAGAAGGCCAUUAGAUGCUGCAUCUCCUUCCAAUCCAAUGCCGCGGAAAAUGUUGGUCUAAAUAUGCACAAAUAAGUAAAGCGUAAGGCGGAAGAUCACCGUCCUGUUGAAAAGUCAAGUGAUCAUAUUGUUGAUCAUUUUCAAUAAUAUCAGUAAAGGCAGAAUCACUCACAUCUUUCAGUAAUUUCCAGUCAUAUUUCCGGGUAAAAAAAUGGUCUCUCUGUCGCCCAUCAAAAACAAUACUGUUAAACUGUGUACACCAAUAACAUGUUUCAUAACCUAACCACAAACCCAAAAAACUGAUCGGCAAAUAAAAUCAUGCAGCUAUGCAUAUUCAAGUCAAUCAACACAAUAGGGAACUUGCACAUUUUUUUUAAUACAUAAUAAUGUUCAGUUUUGUAUAAAAAUGAGAUUUCCAAAAUUUCACGCUUCAAAACCUCAUAAUAACUUAGAAGUACAAAUUUAAAGUCUUCGGUAUUUUAAAUUAGUUCGAACGGCACGUGACGUCACCUAGUUUUACAUUAGUUAUUAUUAUGGUUAUAUUUCGCUGUGUCUAGGUAAACGCUAACGUGUGCGCAAAUAAAAAAGUUAGGUACAUACAGUUGAGUCCGCGAGUCUUUACCCGUGCGUCAUUAAUACCUGGCGAGAUAAAACACAUACUUUUUAUUUAGCAUCAUUCUCUUCCACGCAUGAAACUCAUGACAAACCAGCUGCCGUUUGUUAUUAAGUAAAAACACAUGUUAUUUUUAUGAACCAUCUAGACUCAGUGCAUUGAAAAGAGAUAGGUACAAAAAAAGACGAUUCGGUAUGUUUUCAUAUUUUAAGCACAAUUUGUUUGACGUUUACGCGAAUUAAACUUCAUCAAGCCAGUGACGUCAUUAUUUAACGUACGCAGUGACUGUAUAUUUUGAGGGAAGCAGAACUAUUCAGAUGUUUCAAACUUAAUUGUAAUAAAUAUAUAUAUAUAUAUAUAUAUAUAUAUCCGGGGUGUCAUAUCGGCUGACGCCGCAUCCCCACACCUAACCGCCAUCUAUUUCUAUCCUGGGCAUCUUCCUCUUCCAAAUCUCGGUGUUCCAUGGCCUUCCUUAUCGUGUCAUUCCAGGAUAGUCUUGGUCUUCCCCUUUUCUUCCUACCUGGGGGUUUCCAUUUCAGGAGUUUCUUUGGCCAUCGUUGGUCGUCCAUUCUAAGUAAGUGACCGGUCGGUCAAUUGUAAUAAAUCAAUGUAUAUAAUAAAAGUAUAUAUUUAGGUUAGCAAAAUAAAUAUAUGUAUUUAGUUGACAUGACACGUACAAAAUAUUGCUAAAAUAAUUUUUAUACGUAAGUUAAUUAUUAUGUAAUCAACUAUUCUAAAUGGGAAAUGAGCCACAAUUUAACUAAAAAAAGAUUUUAUUAACGUUUCGACGUCCAAAUCGGAUGUCAUUGUCAAAAUACAAAUAUUAGUAAGAUUAAAUAAAUUAUUAAAAAAAAUUUUUUACUAAGCAAGAACAUUUUUUUUAAUUUAAUAAUAUUUUGUAUUUUAACAACGACGUCCGAUUUAGACGUUGAAACGUAAAUAACAUCAUUUUUUAGUUAAAUUGUGGCUUAGUUCCCAUUUAGAAUAGUUGAUUACAAAAAUACCACAAGGAAAUAGCUUCAUAACAAGUUAAUUAUUAUUGUGAAAGCUUUAGGUCUUCCUUUUAUUUUAAUUUUGGACGGUAAUACUAAAUAUUGUAUAUACUAAAUUGUAACAUAUUGUACUAUAUUGUAAUACUAAAUACUGUAUUUCACUUAUAACUAAAAAAACAUACAGGGUGUAACAAAAAUACAGGUCAUAAAUUUAAUCACAUAUUUUGGGACCAAAAAUAGUUCGAUUGAACCUAACUGACCUUAGUACAAAUGUGCACAUAAAAAAAGUUACAGUCCUUUGAAGUUGCAAAAUAAAAAUCGAUUUUUUCCAAUAUAUCGAAAACUAUUAGAGAUCUUUUAUUGAAAAUAGACAUGUGGCAUUCUUUUGGUAGUAUUAUCUUAAGAAAAAAUUAUACUGAAAUUUGGACACCCCAUAAAAAUUUAAUGGGGGUUUUGUUCCUUUAAACCCCCCAAACUUUUGUGUACGUUCCAAUUUAAUUAUUAUUGUAGUACCAUUAGUUAAACACAAUGUUUUAAAAAAAUUUUUGCCUCUAAGGACUUUUUCGAAAAGUCAGUUUUUAUCGAGAUAUUUUGAAUAUUUUUCAAAUCCACCACAUAUUUGUAUAUAUGGCUAAGUACGAUUAUGGAGACUUGGUAAUAAUAUGAAAAUUUAUUUAUGAUUUACAUUUUUAGGUAUAUUUUGAACCAUAUUAAAAAAUAAGUAAUAUCUCGAUAAAAAGUGCCUUCUUGAAAAAAUACAAAGAGGCAAAAAAGUUUUAAAAACACUGUGUUUAACUAAUGGUACAGCAGUAAAAGAUUAAUUGGAACAUACACAAAUAUUUGGGGGUUUAAAGGAACAAAACCCGCAUAAAAUUUGUAUGUAAACAUAUUAAAAAACAAGCCGCAACUCGAUAAAAACUGCCUUAUCAAAAAAAUACUAAGAGGAAAAAAAGUUUUAGAAAUAUUGAAUUAAACUAAUGGUACCACAAUAAUAAUUUAAUUGGAACGUACCCAAAAGUUUGGGGUGAUUUAAGGGAACAAAACCCCCAUAAAAUUUUUAUUGGGUUCACAAAUUUUACUAUAAUUCUUUUUUAAGAUUUUCCUGCCAUAAGAAUGCCACAUGUCCAUUUUCAAUAAAAAAUCUCUAAUAGUUUUCGAUAUAUUCGAAAAAAUCGAUUUUCAUUUUGUAACUUCAAAGGGCUGUAACUUUUUUUAUGUACAUAUUUGUACUAAGGUAAAUUAGGUUCAUUCCAACUAAUUUUAGUCUCAGAAUAUGCGAUUUAAUUUAUGACCUGUAUUUUCGACUAAUUUAUAGUCUCUUAACUUUUUCAUACUGUUUUAAAAUGUUGUUAAACUCAUUAAAACAACUAAAUAAUUGUCCACACUGCAUAGUUAAUUUAAAAACAAACACUAAACAAAUAAGAAAUAAGAAAUCUCUUUACUAAUCAAUAUUUAAAUUAAAGUAUAAACACAACGCAAUUAAACAAAUUCCAACACUCUGACACUAACUUUUUUAUUUGCGUACACGUUAGCGUGUACCUAGACACAGCGUUAUAUUUAGGUAUAUUCUUCUUUUCCUUCUUUAGUUUAUUGGCCUCCACCUACUUGGGUAUUUGGCCAGCUCGUCGUAGGGUAAUAAAGGAAAAAUAUUUAUAUUCUAAUGACAUUUAUCGUAUGUCGUUGUAAUAAUAUAUACCAGUUUGUUGAGAUUGGAGUUUGAUACAGUUUUUGAAGGAAAGAAAAGAAGGUUUACUAUUGAAAAUAAAACCAUUGUGUAAAAGUAAAAAUUUUCUAUGAAUAGUUCAAAACGAACAAAAACACUUUUAAUGUCACAUAACUGUAUUUUUUACUGACGUUUAUAAUGUCUAAUUAAUUUUGUUUACUUUUGGUGUAAAAUGUAAAUGCAAAACCAUAUGACGUCACGACGUGUUUUUUGCUGGCUGGAAUAUUUGAAUUUUUAAUCGUCUUUAGGGGAAAAACGAAAGACAAACAAAACUUUUUUAUCAUUGAUACAUGUUUUAAAUUAUGUUCUGUUGUGAAUUAUAACAUUUUUUUCCAAUUUUAAAUUUUAUGAAAGUUCCCUAUUGGUUGUGUACAAACAUUGUAAAAAGCAAUAGUUGGCAAAUACUUUGGCAGGUAUAACUUUUAUACUGGACUAUCUCGUUCAAUAUAUUUUUAUAAUAAAUAAAAGCAUAAUUUUUGAAAACUACAUGCUGUUUUUUUAGAUUUAUAGUAAAAAAUCAAUAAUUGUUUAUUACCUGCUAGUUCUUCGCAAGAUUUUUGUUUGCCUCCGAAAUCACUUGGCAA